rnacentral:rRNA from 1 species
UACGAAGGGGGCUAGCGUUGUUCGGAUUUACUGGGCGUAAAGCGCACGUAGGCGGAUUGUUAAGUCAGGGGUGAAAUCCUGGAGCUCAACUCCAGAACUGCCUUUGAUACUGGCAAUCUUGAGUCCGGAAGAGGUGAGUCGGAACUCCUAGUGUAGAGGUGGAAUUCGUAGAUAUUAGGAAGAACACCAGUGGCGAAGGCGGCUCACUGGCCCGGUACUGACGCUGAGGUGCGAAAGCGUGGGGAGCAAACAGGG